UAGCCUCAAGUGAUGAUUAUUGGAGGUAGAGCACUGUUUGGACGAGGGGCCCCUCUCGGGUUACCGAAUUCAGACAAACUCCGAAUGCCAAUUAAUUUAACUUGGGAGUCAGAACAUGGGUGAUAAGGUCCGUGUUCGAAAGGGAAACAGCCCAGACCACCAGCUAAGGUCCCAAAAUAUAUGUUAAGUGGAAAAGGAUGUGGCGUUGCCCAGACAACUAGGAUGUUGGCUUAGAAGCAGCCAUCAUUUAAAGAGUGCGUAAUAGCUCACUAGUCGAGUGACACUGCGCCGAAAAUGUACCGGGGCUAAACAUAUUACCGAAGCUGUGGAUUGUCCUUUGGACAAUGGUAGGAGAGCGUUCUAAGGGCGUUGAAGCAUGAUCGUAAGGACAUGUGGAGCGCUUAGAAGUGAGAAUGCCGGUGUGAGUAGCGAAAGACGGGUGAGAAUCCCGUCCACCGAUUGACUAAGGUUUCCAGAGGAAGGCUCGUCCGCUCUGGGUUAGUCGGGUCCUAAGCUGAGGCCGACAGGCGUAGGCGAUGGAUAACAGGUUGAUAUUCCUGUACCACCUAUAAUCGUUUUAAUCGAUGGGGGGACGCAGUAGGAUAGGCGAAGCGUGCGAUUGGAUUGCACGUCUAAGCAGUAAGGCUGAGUAUUAGGCAAAUCCGGUACUCGUUAAGGCUGAGCUGUGAUGGGGAGAAGACAUUGAGUCUUCGAGUCGUUGAUUUCACACUGCCGAGAAAAGCCUCUAGAUAGAAAAUAGGUGCCCGUACCGCAAACCGACACAGGUAGUCAAGAUGAGAAUUCUAAGGUGAGCGAGCGAACUCUCGUUAAGGAACUCGGCAAAAUGACCCCGUAACUUCGGGAGAAGGGGUGCUCUUUAGGGUUAACGCCCAGAAGAGCCGCAGUGAAUAGGCCCAAGCGACUGUUUAUCAAAAACACAGGUCUCUGCU
rnacentral:rRNA from 1 species